UACCCCUAGCAAAUCUCAAAAAACCGUCUCAGCUCGGAUUGGGGUCUGCAACUCGACCCCAUGAAGUUGGAAUCGCUAGUAAUCGUAGAUCAGCAUGCUACGGUGAAUACGUUCCCGGGCCUUGUACACACCGCCCGUCACACCAUGGGAGUUGGCUUUACCUGAAGGCGGUGCGCUAACCAGCAAUGGAGGCAGCCGACCACGGUAGGGUCAGCGACUGGGGUGAAG
rnacentral:rRNA from 1 species